CCCUUAGAUGUUCUGGGCCGCACGCGCGCUACACUGAUGCGUUCAACGAGUAUACAACCUUGAUCGAUAGGUCUGGGUAAUCUUGUGAAUGCGCAUCGUGCUAGGGAUAGAUUGUUGCAAUUUUCAAUCUUCAACGAGGAAUGCCUAGUAAACGCAAGUCAUCAGCUUGCAUUGAUUACGUCCCUGCCCUUUGUACACACCGCCCGUCGCUCCUACCGAUUGAAUGAUCCGAUGAAUAUCAUGGAUUGAGGAUGCAAGUAGGUUCACCUAUCUUCAUCUUCGAGAAGUGAAGUAAAUCUUAUCAUUUAGAGGAAGGAGAAGUCGUAACA
rnacentral:rRNA from 1 species